ACGAGUGGUGCAAGCGUUAUUCGGAAUCAUUGGGCGUACAGGGCGUGUAGGCGGUAUGUUAAGUCUGUUGUUAAAGACUCUAGCCUAACUGGAGAAAGGCAAUGGAAACUGGUGAACUAGAGGGUGGAAGAGAGAGAUGGAAUUCUCGGUGUAGCGGUAAAAUGCGUAGAUAUCAGGAGGAACACCGAUGGCGAAGGCAGCUUCCUAGUACAUUACUGACGCUGAGGCGCGAAAGCGUGGGGAGCAAACAG
rnacentral:rRNA from 1 species